rnacentral:rRNA from 1 species
UACGCAGGGUGCGAGCGUUAAUCGGAAUUACUGGGCGUAAAGCGUGCGCAGGCGGCUUUGCAAGACAGAUGUGAAAUCCCCGGGCUCAACCUGGGAACUGCAUUUGUGACUGCAAGGCUAGAGUACGGCAGAGGGGGAUGGAAUUCCGCGUGUAGCAGUUAGAUGCGUAGAUAUGCGGAGGAACACCAAUGGCGAAGGCAAUCCCCUGGGCCUGUACUGACGCUCAUGCACGAAAGCGUGGGGAGCAAACAGG